rnacentral:lncRNA from 1 species
AUUUGUCCCUCCAUAGCAGCAGCCAGCUAGAGUUCCAAUAAAUUGUUGGGUCUGCAAAGAGUAGGACUGACUGAUACUUCAAUCCUAGAAAAAGAAUAGAAGAAGACAAAUGAGGAGAAGCUGAGUCUUGAAGCUUCAGGAAAUGAAUGCCAGGAAAGCAUACAUUGAUGGGCAGCCUAAUCAAACUAGAGGACAGAAAUCUACAGGAGUUCUUCUUUUGCAAAAAAGCAGUCACCAGUUUCAAUGUGGGCCCUAUUGGUCACCUGUCACCAGAGGCAGUUCAACCACCAGGCCAACUAGGCAGUUGCCUGUGGCGCCAUCUUGUUGGGGGCACCAUCGAGGCAACUCCUGUCUCCUGCGGCCUGCCUCCGCAAGAUUCUCCAAGAAUUCCAAAUGAAUUCCAUACCUCAUUUCUAGAACUCCCCAAGUCAGCAUAA